UGGGGAAUAUUGGACAAUGGGCGAAAGCCUGAUCCAGCCAUGCCGCGUGUGUGAAGAAGGUCUUCGGAUUGUAAAGCACUUUAAGUUGGGAGGAAGGGCAGUUACCUAAUACGUAUCUGUUUUGACGUUACCGACAGAAUAAGCACCGGCUAACUCUGUGCCAGCAGCCGCGGUAAUACAGAGGGUGCAAGCGUUAAUCGGAAUUACUGGGCGUAAAGCGCGCGUAGGUGGUUUGUUAAGUUGGAUGUGAAAUCCCCGGGCUCAACCUGGGAACUGCAUCCAAAACUGGCAAGCUAGAGUAUGGUAGAGGGUGGUGGAAUUUCCUGUGUAGCGGUGAAAUGUGUAGAUAUAGGAAGGAACACCAGUGGCGAAGGCGACCACCUGGACUGAUACUGACACUGAGGUGCGAAAGCGUGGGGAGCAAACAGGAUUAGAUACCCCUGUAGUCCCUGAGCGGGCUGGCAAGGCGCAU
rnacentral:rRNA from 1 species